ACAAUGGGCUGUGGAGGCGGAGGCUGGGACCUCAGCUCCUAGAUUCUCCCAAAGCCUGUUACUUUUGUGGCCUUUACCAAGGUGGCCUGUUUUUUUCUGCACCCCAGUUUCCCUGUCUAUAAAAUGAAAAUCCCCUCUUUGCCAGAGCUAUCAUCAUGACUGAAGUUACACAUGGAUAGUGGUCACUAGUGAGCUCAGGAAAGGGUUUUUCUGUAUAGCUGACUGUCCUAGAACUCAACUGACCUUGAACUCUGGAUCCUCCUGCCUGCAUUUCCCAACUACCAGGAUUGACUGUGGUGCUGGAGACUUGCCCCUGGGCCCUGAGCACGCCAGACCCAAACCACCAAGGUGAAAAGGACCCUGUGGAGGAGGCAUGGUGGGCUCACCUGCAAUCCUGGCACUCAGGGACGUGGCAAGAGGAUGGACAGCCAUAAAGUCAAGUACAGCCUACGCUACACUCAAGAUCCUGACUCAAAGAAACAGCAGGAGCAGAGGCGUCAGCCCCACCCGCUCUCCAGGUGAGCAGAGGCUGCGUGGGUGGAAACAAGAGCUGCCUCUGAUUCUCAGGUGGCCAAGUGAGGCCCAGCAAGGACAGACACCUGGAAAUACUUAGCCAUUCCCACUCUCAGUCAUCAGCUGGCCCUUAGGAGUCAUAAGCAACUGAGGCAUUGUGACAGCUUUGUUUUGGGCUAUGUGCUGGUGUCAUUUGUUUCUUUAAUAGCUUUCUCUGUUGUUGGGUUUUGGUUUUAUGAUUAUUGUUUUUCUUCCUUUCUUUUCUUAAAUUUUUUAAUUUA